UAUAAAUGCUUAGUCAUGGCUGGUUCCACCACAACUGACUCAAUGUGUCGAACCAACACAUAUUUAGUGGAUGAGGUGGCCAACUAGUCAGAAUCCUCUGUGUUCUCCUACGAGUACCAAGAACAGUUGGUUCUUAGAAUAGAGGAUGAGGUGGCCAACUAGUCAGAAUCCUCUGUGUUCUCCUACGAGAACCAAGAACAGUUGGUUCUUAGAAUAGAGGAUGAGGUGGCCAACUAGUCAGAAUCCUCUGUGUUCUCCUACGAGAACCAAGAACAGUUGGUUCUUAGAAUAGAGGAUGAGGUGGCCAACUAGUCAGAAUCCUCUGUGUUCUCCUACGAGAACCAAGAACAGUUGGUUCUUAGAAUAGAGGAUGAGGUGGCCAACUAGUCAGAAUCCUCUGUGUUCUCCUACGAGAACCAAGAACAGUUGGUUCUUAGAAUAGAGGAUGAGGUGGCCAACUAGUCAGAAUCCUCUGUGUUCUCCUACGAGAACCAAGAACAGUUGGUUCUUAGAAUAGAGGAUGAGGUGGCCAACUAGUCAGAAUCCUCUGUGUUCUCCUACGAGAACCAAGAACAGUUGGUUCUUAGAAUAGAGGAUGAGGUGGCCAACUAGUCAGAAUCCUCUGUGUUCUCCUACGAGAACCAAGAACAGUUGGUUCUUAGAAUAGAGGAUGAGGUGGCCAACUAGUCAGAAUCCUCUGUGUUCUCCUACGAGAACCAAGAACAGUUGGUUCUUAGAAUAGAGGAUGAG